rnacentral:rRNA from 1 species
UGAAUACGAGACGCUAAGGCGUCGAAGUAGUGUAUGUCAUACUUCCAAGAAAAGCUUGCACUGUCAUAGAUAAAAAACGCCUGUACCAUAACCGACACAGGUGGGUAGGUAGAGUAUACUAAGGGGCGCGAGAUAACUCUCUCUAAGGAACUCGGCAAAAUAACUCCGUAACUUCGGGAGAAGGAGUGCCUUAUUCGUAAGGUUGCAAUAACAAGAUCCAAGCAACUGUUUAUCAAAAACACAGGUCUCCGCUAAGUCGUAAGACGAUGUAUGGGGGCUGACGCCUGCCCAGUGCCAGAAGGUUAAAGAAGUUGGUUAGCAAUUGCGAAGCUGAUAACUGAAGCCCUGGUGAACGGCGGCCGUAACCAUAACGGUCCUAAGGUAGCGAAAUUCCUUGUCGGGUAAGUUCCGACCCGCACGAAAGGCGUAAUGAUUUGGAUACUGUCUCGGAGAGGGGCUCGGUGAAAUAGACUUGUCUGUGAAGAUGCGGACUACCUGCACCAGGACAGAAAGACCCUAUGAAGCUUUACUGUAACUUGAAAUUGAAAUUGGACUUUAUUCGCGCAGUAUAGGUGGGAGGCGUUGAUUAUAAUCUUGUGGGAUUAUUGGAGCCAUCAGUGAGAUACCACUCUUGUAACGUUAGAUUUCUAACUUUGAAUCAUUAUCUGGUCAAAGAACAGUUUCAGGCGGCAGUUUGACUGGGGCGGUCGCCUCCUAAACGGUAACGGAGGCGUACAAAGGUUUCCUCUGAACGGUUAGAAAUCGUAUCUAGAGUGUAAAGGCAUAAGGAAGCUUGACUGUGAGACCUACGAGUCGAGCAGGGACGAAAGUCGGUCUUAGUGAUCUGACGGUACUGAGUGGAAAGGCCGUCACUCAACGGAUAAAAGUUACUCUAGGAUAACAGGCUGAUCUCCCCCAAGAGUUCACAUCGACGGGGAGGUUUGGCACCUCGAUGUCGGCUCAUCGCAUCCUGGGGCGGUAGUACGUCCCAAGGGUUGGGCUGUUCGCCCAUGAAAGCGGUACGCGAGCUGGGUUCAGAACGUCGUGAGACAGUUCGGUCCAUAUCCGGUGUAGGCGUUAGAAUAUUGAGAGGAGCCUUCUUUAGUACGAGAGGGCCGAGAAGGACAUACCUCUGGUGUACCAGUUAUCGUGCCAACGGUAAACGCUGGGUAGCUAUGUAUGGAGUGGAUAACCGCUGAAAGCAUCUAAGUGGGAAGCCCACCUCAAGAUAAGUAUUCUCAC